CCGACUUUAGCUCAGUUGGAAGAGCGCGAGACUGUAAUGGUUAACUGAUCAUCUUGAGGUCGCCUGUUCGAGCCAGGCAAGUCGGA
rfam:Coniophora puteana RWD-64-598 SS2 unplaced genomic scaffold CONPTscaffold_3, whole genome shotgun sequence.